AGUGAACGCUGGCGGCAGGCCUAACACAUGCAAGUCGAACGGAAGCACAGUAAUUGCUCGUGGUUACGGCGGCCGAGGGGCGGAUAAUGCCUGGAAACAUCGCAGGCAGCGUUUGAUUAGGUCAGAACGUAGGGGAUCAUACGCCAAAACCGCAGACGGCGUACGUGGGAGAGCAGCGGACCUUCCGCCCUCGGACGAGCCUAUGUCGCAAUGUCGGAUUGGCUAGUUGGCGGGGUAAAGGCCCACCAAGGCGACGAUCCGUAGCUGGUCUGAGAGGAUGAUCAGCCACACUGGAACUGAGACACGGUCCAGACUCCUACGGGAGGCAGCAGUGGGGAAUAUUGGACAAUGGGCGCAAGCCUGAUCCAGCCAUACCGCGUGGGUGAAGAAGGCCUUCGGGUUGUAAAGCCCUUUUGUUGGGAAAGAAAAGCAGCAGGUUAAUACCCCGCUGUUCUGACGGUACCCAAAGAAUAAGCACCGGCUAACUUCGUG
rnacentral:rRNA from 1 species